rnacentral:tRNA from 1 species
GGCGACGUACCCAAGUGGCUAAGGGAGAGGUCUGCAAAACCUCCAUUCGCGGGUUCGAUUCCCGCCGUCGCCUCCA